rnacentral:rRNA from 1 species
GAUGAACGCUGGCGGCGUGCCUAAUACAUGCAAGUCGAGCGAACAGACGAGGAGCUUGCUCCUCUGACGUUAGCGGCGGACGGGUGAGUAACACGUGGAUAACCUACCUAUAAGACUGGGAUAACUUCGGGAAACCGGAGCUAAUACCGGAUAAUAUAUUGAACCGCAUGGUUCAAUAGUUAAAGACGGUUUUGCUGUCACUUAUAGAUGGAUCCGCGCCGCAUUAGCUAGUUGGUAAGGUAACGGCUUACCAAGGCGACGAUGCGUAGCCGACCUGAGAGGGUGAUCGGCCACACUGGAACUGAGACACGGUCCAGACUCCUACGGGAGGCAGCAGUAGGGAAUCUUCCGCAAUGGGCGAAAGCUUGACGGAGCAACGCCGCGUGAGUGAUGAAGGUCUUCGGAUCGUAAAACUCUGUUAUUAGGGAAGAACAAAUGUGUAAGUAACUAUGCACGUCAUGACGGUACCUAAUCAGAAAGCCACGGCUAACUACGU